UGCUCCAAUUUACCGCAUGGUCCUCUGGGAAAAAUUCAUUCGGUAUGGGAUGGGGUCGCGUCCUAUCAGCUUGAUGGCGGGGUAACGGCCCACCAUGGCUUCCACCGGUAACCGGCCUGAAAAGGCGACCGGCCACAUUGGGACUGAAAUACCGCCCAGACUCCUACCGGAGGCAACAGUGGGGAAUAUUGCACAAUGGGCGCAAGCCUGAUGCAGCGACCCCCCCUGCGGGAUGACAGCCUUCCGGUUGUAAACCGCUUUUUACUGGGAACAAGCCCUUCGGGGUGAGUGUACCUUUCUAAUAACCACCGACUAACUACCUGCCAGCAGCCGCGGUACUACGUAGGGUGCAAGCGUUAUCCAUAAUUAUUGGGCAUAGAGUGCUCGUAGGCGGUUCGUCGCCUGCGGUGUGAAAGUCCAUCUCUUAACGGUGGAUCCCCGCCGGGUACGGGCGGGCUUGAGUGCGGUAGGGGAGACUGGAAUUCCCGGUGUAACGGUGGAAUGUGUAGAUAUCGGGAAGAACACCAAUGGCGAAGGCAGGUCUCUGGGCCGUCACUGACGCUGAGGAGCGAAAGCGUGGGGAGCGAACAGGAUUAGAUACCCUGGUAGUCCACGCCGUAAACGGUGGAUGCUGGAUGUGGGGCCCGUUCCACGGGUUCCGUGUCGGAGCUAACGCGUUAAGCAUCCCGCCUGGGGAGUACGGCCGCAAGGCUAAAACUCAAAGAAAUUGACGGGGGCCCGCACAAGCGGCGGAGCAUGCGGAUUAAUUCGAUGCAACGCGAAGAACCUUACCUGGGCUUGACAUGUUCCCGACGGUCGUAGAGAUACGGCUUCCCUUCGGGGCGGGUUCACAGGUGGUGCAUGGUUGUCGUCAGCUCGUGUCGUGAGAUGUUGGGUUAAGUCCCGCAACGAGCGCAACCCUCGCCCCGUGUUGCCAGCGGAUUAUGCCGGGAACUCACGGGGGACCGCCGGGGUUAACUCGGAGGAAGGUGGGGAUGACGUCAGAUCAUCAUGCCCCUUACGUCCAGGGCUUCACGCAUGCUACAAUGGCCGGUACAACGGGAUGCGACGCGGCGACGCGGAGCGGAUCCCUGAAAACCGGUCUCAGUUCGGAUCGCAGUCUGCAACUCGACUGCGUGAAGGCGGAGUCGCUAGUAAUCGCGAAUCAGCAACGU
rnacentral:rRNA from 1 species